GAUGAACGCUGGCGGCGUGCUUAACACAUGCAAGUCGAACGGGAAUUACUUUAUUGAAACUUCGGUCGAUAUGAUUUAAUUCUAGUGGCGGACGGGUGAGUAACGCGUGGGUAACCUGCCUUAUACAGGGGGAUAACAGUCAGAAAUGACUGCUAAUACCGCAUAAGCGCACAGGACCGCAUGGUCCGGUGUGAAAAACUCCGGUGGUAUAAGAUGGACCCGCGUUGGAUUAGCUAGUUGGUGAGGUAACGGCCCACCAAGGCGACGAUCCAUAGCCGGCCUGAGAGGGUGAACGGCCACAUUGGGACUGAGACACGGCCCAGACUCCUACGGGAGGCAGCAGUGGGGAAUAUUGCACAAUGGGGGAAACCCUGAUGCAGCGACGCCGCGUGAAGGAAGAAGUAUCUCGGUAUGUAAACUUCUAUCAGCAGGGAAGAAAAUGACGGUAC
rnacentral:rRNA from 1 species